AGGCGGCCGAAACCUGAGCUUGCGUGGCUGUGGCUCUCGAAACCUGUGCAGCGCCCGGGGGGUGACAGAGAGAGUGGCUCUGCAGGGCCUGCGGCUGGCCCGCCCGCCGUACUGCAGCUCGGGCCGCCGCGCCGUCCUGGAGUCCCAGUGCCUCUUGGGCGCUGCCGCUGGACUCCGCCUUGCCCUGCCCGUGCUGGUGGUGGCCCUGGGGACCUCGGUGCUGGCCUGAGGAGUCAGGCCUGGACCCCCCUUCUCCUCCUGCCUACUCGUUCUGCAUCUCACUGGAUGAGGCCCUGGAUCCCCUCUUUGGGACACUUCUGGGGCCUGGAAGCUUCUACUGAGAAAGUCAGGGACCAGGGACAGGUUCCUGUCCUAGGCCAAGUGCUUCCCCUAGGGAAGUCCUCUUUCCUGGUCCCAGGAACCCCUAAAAGGCCAUCCAGCUGCCUCCGAGGCCAGGCCACUGCUGGACUAGGGCCAGACCUCCUUGGCAGACAAGGGUCUUCCUGGGGACAACCUCCCCUCCCCCUCCAGACUAGGGUCGUUCUUCCCCUGACUACAAAGGCCACCUUCUCUUUGAGACCAUGGGCCCCAAAGACUAGGCCGCUUUCUUCAACGGAGGGAUCCUGGACACCAAGCCACUCCCUCAAUUGGGUCCGCGUCUGUGUUCUCCAACAUGAAGGAGCAAAUCCUUCUUCUGCCUCCCUCUGAAAGGUCUAGCAAAGUCCCGUGCAGCCAAGGUGGGCCUUGAGGGCCCCAGACACCCACUUCCCAAGGCUUUUGGAGCGACCCAUUUCUUUCCUCUGGGCCGCGAUGGGCAGGAGGCUUCGGUGACGGUCCCCUGCGGCCUGGGCUCAACCUCCCAGCUGUGACCGAAUCUGAAUGAAUCGCAUCCCGCAAUGC
rnacentral:lncRNA from 1 species